rnacentral:rRNA from 1 species
GACGAACGCUGGCGGCGUGCUUAACACAUGCAAGUCGAACGGAAAGGCCCUGCUUUUGUGGGUUGCUCGAGUGGCGAACGGGUGAGUAACACGUGAGUAACCUGCCCUUGACUUUGGGAUAACUUCAGGAAACUGGGGCUAAUACCGGAUAUGAGCUCCUGCUGCAUGGUGGGGGUUGGAAAGUUUCGGCGGUUGGGGAUGGACUCGCGGCUUAUCAGCUUGUUGGUGGGGUAGUGGAUUACCAAGGCUUUGACGGGUAGCCGGCCUGAGAGGGUGACCGGCCACAUUGGGACUGAGAUACGGCCCAGAAUCGUACGGGAGGCAGCAGUGGGGAAUAUUGCACAAUGGGCGGAAGCCUGAUGCAGCAACGCCGCGUGCGGGAUGACGGCCUUCGGGUUGUAAACAGCUUUCGACUGUGACGAAGCGUGAGUGACGGUAAUGGGUAAAGAAGCACCGGCUAACUACGUG